UACGAAGGGGGCUAGCGUUGCUCGGAAUCACUGGGCGUAAAGCGCACGUAGGCGGAUCUUUAAGUCAGGGGUGAAAUCCCGGCGCUCAACUCCGGAACUGCCUUUGAUACUGGAGAUCUUGAGUCCGGGAGAGGUGAGUGGAACUGCGAGUGUAGAGGUGAAAUUCGUAGAUAUUCGCAAGAACACCAGUGGCGAAGGCGGCUCACUGGCCCGGUACUGACGCUGAGGUGCGAAAGCGUGGGGAGCAAACAGGA
rnacentral:rRNA from 1 species